rnacentral:rRNA from 1 species
UACGGGGGGAGCAAGCGUUGUUCGGAUUUACUGGGCGUAAAGGGCGCGUAGGCGGCCACCGCAAGUCGACUGUGAAAUCUCCGGGCUUAACUCGGAAAGGUCAGCCGAUACUGCGGGGCUAGAGUGCAGAAGGGGCAACUGGAAUUCUCGGUGUAGCGGUGAAAUGCGUAGAUAUCGAGAGGAACACCUGCGGCGAAGGCGGGUUGAUGGGCUGACACUGACGCUGAUGUGCGAAAGCUAGGGGAGCGAACGGG